rnacentral:rRNA from 1 species
GUGGCGAACGGGUGAGUAAUACGUGAGUAACCUGCCCUUGACUCUGGGAUAAGCCUGGGAAACUGGGUCUAAUACUGGAUACUACCUCUCAUCGCAUGGUGGGGGGUGGAAAGGGUUUUACUGGUUUUGGAUGGGCUCACGGCCUAUCAGCUUGUUGGUGGGGUAAUGGCUCACCAAGGCGACGACGGGUAGCCGGGCUGAGAGGGUGACCGGCCACACUGGGACUGAGACACGGCCCAGACUCCUACGGGAGGCAGCAGUGGGGAAUAUUGCACAAUGGGCGAAAGCCUGAUGCAGCGACGCCGCGUGAGGGAUGACGGCCUUCGGGUUGUAAACCUCUUUCAGUAGGGAAGAAGCGCAAGUGACGGUACCUGCAGAAGAAGCGCCGGCUAACUACGUGCCAGCAGCCGCGGUAAUACGUAGGGCGCAAGCGUUGUCCGGAAUUAUUGGGCGUAAAGAGCUCGUAGGCGGUUUGUCGCGUCUGCUGUGAAAGCCCGGGGCUCAACCCCGGGUCUGCAGUGGGUACGGGCAGACUAGAGUGCAGUAGGGGAGACUGGAAUUCCUGGUGUAGCGGUGAAAU